GUGUAAUACUGGUUCUCAUCUGAUCAUUGAAGUUAAGCAACAUUAAACCUGGUCAGUUCCUAGAUGGGUGACUGCUUGGGAAUACCAGGUGCUGUAAG